CAGGCCUGCUUGAGCUGCGGUGGGCUCCACCCAGUUCGAGCUUUCCAGCCACUUUGUUUACUUACUCAAGCCUCAGCAAUGGUGGGCUCCCCUCCCCCAGCCUCACUGCCACCUUGCAGUUUGAUCUCAGCCUGCUGUGCUAGCAAUGAGUGAGGCUCCAUGGGCAUAGGACCCUCCAAGCCAUGCGUGGGAUAUAAUCUCCUGGUGUGCCAUUUGCUAAGACCAUUGGAAAGGUGCGGUAUUAGGGUGGGAGUGACCUGAUUUUCCAGGUGCCAUCUGUCACCCCUUUCUUUGACUAGGAAAGGGAAUUCUCUGACCCCUUGUGCUUCCCGGGUGAGGUGAUGCCUUGCCCUGCUUUGGCUCACACUCAGUGCACUGCUUCCAUUGUCCUGCACCCACUGUCUGACACUCCCCAGUGAGAUGAACCCAGUACCUCAGUUGGAAAUGCAGAAAUCACCCAUCUUCUGUGUCGCUCACACUGGGAGCUAUAGACUGGAGCUAUUCCUAUUCAGCCAUCUUGGCUCCACCCCUGUUGUCACUUUUUAGGGAAAGUAUUUGCUGAGCUUCUUAUUCUACCAUUUUGGAAGUCCCCUUUUCAGAAAUAUUUAAUUGUUGAUAGGCAUGAUUUAGUUUCUACCUAGUUUUUGAUCAAGCAUCAAGCAGUUGAGAUUCUUAGAUAAUCAAGUGCAUUUUACUAAUGACUCCAUAAAUAUUAUAUUCUGAUUUUUAGAAACAUAUCCAUAUUAGAAAAUGUACAUGAACAGGGCUAAUUUUCUUCAUGUAUUGGAAUGAAUGUUUUGUAUUUAUUUUUGAAUUCUUUUCCUAUCCAAACUCUACAAUUGAAGAUAAUGGAACAGGAGAUAAAAUUGAAAGCUUUUGAAAUUGUCUAGAUAGUAGACUGAAUAUUUGCGAUGUAUUUUCUACUCUCUUUUUCUUGAUUACAUUUUAGUAAUAUGAAAUAAAAACGGUCAGCCAUUAACAGCAGAACAUAUGCAACCUAUUUAAACCAAAAGUCUUUCAAGCAUCUCAGGAGCAGACCUGAGAAGCUUUUCUAAGUUAAAUGUACAAUAAUCAUCUAACAAGAAUAAUCUGACACUUUAUAUGUGACCAUGAUGGCAAAUAAAAUUGGAUUGCUCCCAAUUUGAUAGCCCAUGGAGGGUUGUACAAUAAUUUUAUGCUAAUUCUAAAAAACCUAUGAUUUCUACUUUUAGAAAUUCAUGAUCAAAUUUAUCUUCUUAUCUGUGUGGAGUUUAGGAAAGAAACACAUCAUGCUAAAGACAACAAAAGCCUGAACAAAGUCCCUCUAUUUAGUCAAAAUAGAAUUUCACAAACAAUGGAGUUUAAAAUUCAAAUGUCUUCAAAGCAGUUGUAAUAAUAAUUGUUUCCACUAAGGUGUGCUAGAUCUCCAAAUAUUAUUCAUGCUCUCCUUGUCUUACCACACUGCACUGAAUUUCACCGUGUUCAUUGCCUUCCCCAGGGCUGCCAAGCAUUUACCACACAGGAGGUUUUUAAGCUGGAGCAACAAUGUGCUGCACACAAAUUCAGCUAAAACACAAAAGAAGACAAGAAAUCAUUUAAAAAUGUUAAAUGAAAAGAAAAAAAUAGUUGCAUUGUGAAUUGGUGAUUUUUAUAAACAGACUCAGAAAAAAGAAAAUAGCAUUUGAAAAAGGAAAAGAUGAUCAAGCACUUUCAAAGACAAAAAAUACAAUGCAUCUAUAAAGGCAAAUGCGGCAUUGAGUGACUAAAUCUGAUGAACAGGGAAGACUUCUGACAGACACUGAAUUGGGAGAAGGAGCCUUCCUGCUCCGAGACCAGUGACAUGUACUUGGAAAUGAUGGUAAGAAAAGGGUGUGUAAUUACAAUGAUGAAGGGAGUCAUCACCUCUGGGGACACCUGCAAAUCCCUGCCUACUAAAGGAGAAGCUCAACUCAGAC
rnacentral:lncRNA from 10 species